UUUGUAGUUUCUCUCUUUACUCCCCUGUAGUUUAAAUGGUAUCAAUUUGCCCCCCUGUGGUUUCUUUUUUCUCUUUUUCUUAUCAAUUUCAUUAUUUUUUUUCUUAAAUCAGUGAUAAAGUUAAAAUUAAAGGGUACUAAAAUAAAUAUUUGAUAAAUCUAGAUGGGUAUCUGAAGUUUUUGUAUAUAAUUUAAUGAAAUGUUAACGAAAAAGCUACCGAAAAGAUAAAAACGAAACCACAGGGGGGCAAAUUGAUACAUUUUAAACCACAGGGGGGCAAAGUGAGAAACUAUGAAACCACAGGAAAAGUUUUUGAAGUUUUUCCUAAAAUUUAUAAUGUCCAAUUAAAAUUAAAAAU
rnacentral:lncRNA from 1 species